GCUGGCAGCUAGCUCUCUGCAACUCUCACAUGGUCGCCCACUGAAGCUAAGCAGGGCUGCGCCCGGUCAGUACCUGGAUGGAAGACCUCAUGGGAAAGCUAGGUUGCUGCCAGAA
rnacentral:rRNA from 1 species